rnacentral:rRNA from 1 species
GACGAACGCUGGCGGCGUGCUUAACACAUGCAAGUCGAACGGAAAGGCCCUGCUUGCAGGGUACUCGAGUGGCGAACGGGUGAGUAACACGUGGGUGAUCAGCCCUGCACUUCGGGAUAAGCCUGGGAAACUGGGUCUAAUACCGGAUAGGAGCCAUUUUUAGUGUGAUGGUUGGAAAGUUUUUUCGGUGUAGGAUGAGCUCGCGGCCUAUCAGCUUGUUGGUGGGGUAAUGGCCUACCAAGGCGGCGACGGGUAGCCGGCCUGAGAGGGUGGACGGCCACAUUGGGACUGAGAUACGGCCCAGACUCCUACGGGAGGCAGCAGUGGGGAAUAUUGCACAAUGGGCGCAAGCCUGAUGCAGCGACGCCGCGUGGGGGAUGACGGCCUUCGGGUUGUAAACUCCUUUCGCUAGGGACGAAGCUUUUUGUGACGGUACCUAGAUAAGAAGCACCGGCUAACUACGUG